UACGGGAGGCAGCAGUGGGGAAUAUUGGGCAAUGGGCGGAAGCCUGACCCAGCAACGCCGCGUGAAGGAAGAAGGUCUUCGGAUUGUAAACUUCUUUUAUGAGGGACGAAGGACGUGACGGUACCUCAUGAAUAAGCCACGGCUAACUACGUGCCAGCAGCCGCGGUAAU
rnacentral:rRNA from 1 species